rnacentral:rRNA from 1 species
UGUGUGUCGUAGUUAACGCGUUAAACAGGGCGCCUGGGAAGUACGGCCGCAAGGCUAAAACCCAAAGGAAUUGACGGGGACCCGCACAAGCAGUGGAGCGCCUGGUUUAAUUCGAUGGUCAGCGAAGAACCUCACCUAGGCUUGAACUGUAGCUGCACACUCCCAGAAACGGGAGAAUCCUUCGAGGGUGCUACAGAGGUGCUGCAUGGCUGUCGUCAGCUCGUGUCGUGAGAUGUAGGGUUAAGUCCCACAACGAGCGCAACCCCUAUUCAGUGUUAUAAUUACUCUGAAGACUGCCCUGUCCAAACGGGGAGGAAGGAGGGGACGACGUCCAGUCAUCAUGUCCCUUAUGUCUAGGGCUACACAGACGCUACAAUGGCCGGUACAAUGGGUUGCCAAACCGCGAGGUGGAGCCAAUCCCAUCAAAGCCGGUCCCAGUUCGGAUUGCAGUCUGCAACUCGACUGCAUGAAGUUGGAAUUGCUAGUAAUCGCGACUCCGCACGUCGCGGUGAUACGUUCUCGGGUCUUGUACACACCGCCCGUCAGGGCACGGGAGUCGC